rnacentral:rRNA from 1 species
GUGGGGAAUUUUGGACAAUGGGCGCAAGCCUGAUCCAGCAAUGCCGCGUGCAGGAAGAAGGCCUUCGGGUUGUAAACUGCUUUUGUACGGAACGAAACGGUCCGGGUUAAUACCCUGGGCUAAUGACGGUACCGUAAGAAUAAGCACCGGCUAACUACGUGCCAGCAGCCGCGGUAAUACGUAGGGUGCAAGCGUUAAUCGGAAUUACUGGGCGUAAAGCGUGCGCAGGCGGUUUUGUAAGACAGGCGUGAAAUCCCCGGGCUCAACCUGGGGAUUGCGCUUGUGACUGCAAGGCUGGAGUGCGGCAGAGGGGGAUGGAAUUCCGCGUGUAGCAGUGAAAUGCGUAGAUAUGCGGAGGAACACCGAUGGCGAAGGCAAUCCCCUGGGCCUGCACUGACGCUCAUGCACGAAAGCGUGGGGAGCAAACAGGAUUAGAUACCCUGGUAGUCC